rnacentral:sRNA from 1 species
UUGGCAUUCUUGGGAAAUGAAGCUUUCUGUAAAUCCAUAGAAAAUGUACAACACAGGCAGCAACAGAGCAAGUUUUCCCACAUUGCCUUGCCAAUGGGCCUCAGCCUCCAGGAGAGAAACAACCUCUAAUAGGAAGGCACACGUAGAUUGAAGAGGAAGAAUGAUCCAGUUUUUAGGCCACAAGCCUAAACUUGG